rnacentral:rRNA from 1 species
AGAGUUUGAUCCUGGCUCAGGAUGAACGCUGGCGGCGUGCCUAACACAUGCAAGUCUAAGGAGAACGUAUCUUCGGAUACAAGUAAACUGGCGAACGGGUGAGUAACGCGUAGGCUACCUGCCCUGUAGAUUGGAAUAACCUCGUGAAAAUGGGGCUAAUACCAUAUAAUAUUGAAAAAUCAAAGGAGGCUUCGGCUUUCGCUACAGGAUGGGCCUGCGUCUGAUUAGCUAGAUGGUAGAGUAAAAGACUACCAUGGCAAUGAUCAGUAGCUGGUCUGAGAGGAUGAUCAGCCACACUGGGACUGAGAUACGGCCCAGACUCCUACGGGAGGCAGCAGUGAGGAAUUUUGCGCAAUGGACGAAAGUCUGACGCAGCAACGCCGCGUGAUCGAAGAAGCUUUGCGGAGUGUAAAGAUCUGUCAUAAGGGAAGAAUAAUGUAUAUACUAACACUAUAUACAUCUGACGGUACCUUAUAAGAAAGCCCCGGCUAACUUCGUGCCAGCAGCCGCGGUAAUACGAGGGGGGCAAGCGUUGUCCGGAUUUAUUGGGCGUAAAGGGCUCGUAGGUGGGCUAGUAAGUCAAAAUUGAAAUCCAAUGGCUUAACCAUUGUCACGGUUUUGAUACUGCUAGUCUUGAGUGAAAUAGAGGUAAGUGGAAUUCCUGGUGUAGCGGUGAAAUGCGUAGAUAUCAGGAGGAACGCCAAAGGAGAAGUCAGCUUACUGGAUUUAUACUGACACUGAGGAGCGAAAGCGUGGGUAGCAAACAGGAUUAGAGACCCUGGUAGUCCACGCUGUAAACGAUGAGUACUAGAUGGUGGGUGAUUCGACCCUCUCACUGUUACAGUUAACGCAUUAAGUACUCCGCCUGGGAAGUACGUUCGCAAGAAUGAAACUCAAAGGAAUUGACGGGGACCCGCACAAGCGGUGGAUUAUGUGGUUUAAUUCGAUGCAACGCGAAGAACCUUACCUAGAUUUGACAUGUUUAAGAAAUCCUCGUGAAAGCGAGGACCUUUUUAAGUUUACUUAAAAACUUUUACACAGGUGAUGCAUGGCUGUCGUCAGCUCGUGUCGUGAGAUGUUCG